rnacentral:rRNA from 1 species
GUAGGGUGCAAGCGUUAAUCGGAAUUACUGGGCGUAAAGCGUGCGCAGGCGGUCCGCUAAGACAGAUGUGAAAUCCCCGGGGCUUAACCUGGGAACUGCAUUUGUGACUGGCGGGCUAGAGUAUGGCAGAGGGGGGUAGAAUUCCACGUGUAGCAGUGAAAUGCGUAGAGAUGUGGAGGAAUACCGAUGGCGAAGGCAGCCCCCUGGGCCCAUACUGACGCUCAUGCACGAAAGCGUGGGGAGCAAACAGGAUUAGAUACCCUGGUAGUCCACGCCCUAAACGAUGUCAACUAGUUGUCGGGUCUUCAUUGACUUGGUAACGUAGCUAACGCGUGAAGUUGACCGCCUGGGGAGUACGGUCGCAAGAUUA